UACUAAUAGAAUAAUUAAUGAAAUAUAAACGAGAUGACCAAAUUGACGUGCAAUCAUAAAAUUCAAGAACAACAUUAAUCACAUUAGAAAGUAAAUAGAGAAAAGUGGGUAAGGAGUGGGUAGUCGCGAUUUUCGGAGGGCGAUUUAUGAAUUUACUGUAUUUUGAGGGGUGGCAGAGCAAAUUUAUGGAUCCCUUUCGGGGUUUUGUGAACAAAGACAGGUAGCAAACAUUCAUAUUCCUCACCUCUUCACUCCUUUCACUCCUCCCUGAUGCCCUUCGUCUUGCUACCCUACGAAUCAGGUCAAUAUCCCUCUCUCUCUAAAGCUUGAUUUUGUUUGUAAUUGAUUUGGGGUUUAUUUUAGGGUUAGGAAAUUUGGGAUUUAUAGUUAGGGUUAGGCAAUUUGGGGAUUGAUUUUCGUAGUUUCAAUUGUGCAUGAAGUUGUUUUAGGCUGUAGUGAAAGCAUACUUUGUAGUAAAUUUGAUCGAGAUUCUUGUAGUUAUGCACACACUCUGUGUAUUUGUUAAUGUGAUAACAAUGUAUAAUGCUGACAAACUGGGAAGCAAGGAUGGUGAUUAUGUCUCUUCGUUCUAUGCUCCAAAAGCUAGGGACUAAUCGGUCCACUUACAGUAACAUUAGAAGUGCCGUGCUUAGGGCUUCUCAGAGCGCUGCUGUCAACAACAAUUCCAGAAAUCCGGAGGCCAAGCCCAUGUCUUCAGUAGAGUCUAGUGCUGGUUGUUGUUGUCACCAUGUUUUUGAUGAUGGAUACCUCGCAAUGCAAUUGACGACGACGGCCCCUAGCCUUCCCUGUUCUGGGCAGAAUGCCCAACUGCAGUUUAUUAGAAUGUUGUGUGCUAACAGGUGGAGGCGUAACAAUGGUCCUCAUUACAUGUAUUUUAUAUUGCUCGAGGCAAUGAUGGUGGUGAGCUGAAAGUCUACCAGGUACAUGUUUCGCCAGAUUUCACUAGCGGCAUGUCUUUGCAAUUCCUCGAUUGUGUCGUGGAGAAGGGGUCUCCUGUAAAACUAUUUGAUCCCCUAGGUAAGUGUGGCAAGCUACUUCCAUUAAUUUUGUCAUGGAUUUAUUUCUUAGCGCGGAAGAAUGUAGGCGUACAUUGAUCAAUCUAUGGGUUUCUUUGAAACAAAUAACUUUUGGGACUGAAGGUGGUUCACUGUGGCUGCUGAAAGAAGCAUCAAUUAGAAAUCGGUUUUUAAUUAGGGAAUUGUUACUGGCACUCCAAAAAUCUCAUUCUACAUUCCUCACAGGUGUAUUUUUCCUUCAAAAUAUAAAAAGUUUGGAGUGUAGAAUGAGAUUUUUGGAGUGUCAAUAACAAUUCCCUUUAAUUAAAGAAGACUAGUGAAAGUGGAUGACUCUUACCUGCUAUGGUGUCGCAACAUCGUAACCCUAACCCUACCUUGCAGACUUCUCUAUAUUAUUUCAACUUUGUUGUGGGACAUUGUAUUAUAUGUAGUAUGAAGUAUGAAACUUUGGCUGGCAUGCCUUUCUCAUCAAUUUGAACUCAAUGCAGCAAAUUUUAUUGCUA